AUCUUCCUCAAUUAAUCCACCAUUAGCAUGUUCAGGGUCCACUACUGGAUGGUUAACAGCGGCUUUUGUAACUGUAUGCCGACCAUACCCAAUUAUGCUUUGCUAAAAAUGAACUCUUUGCAGACCAACCCUCUCGGGCUGUCAGUGUUUUCCGUUUUCCUAUUUUAACGUUUGUGUAUAGUGGCAGGCGACAGAUGGUGUGGAUCAGAUCGAUUUGAUUGCAUUAGAUGAUUUUCCCCCCUUCCCCACGCCUUUCUGGAAGCUCGCAUCAGCUGAAGGCUCUCGCCUGGGACUCCUCCGAAGCAUGAGCAAGCCGCCACCACGCGAAGGCACUGGGGCACAGCCAGCGCGAGGCGACGAGGUCCCUUCCCAGGGCUUGUUAACACUGUAACCCGGCGCUCAGAGAGCAACGGCUCCCACUGCCCAAGCCUGCCUCGCCGCCCAUCGGACGACUCCUGGCUUCUGCACACAGUUGGAGUUCUGCCGGCAACCUGGAUUUAGAGGGGUUCUCUCGCUGCCAUGACACUCAAUCAAGGCACCUAGAGUGGGCUGGCCGUGACCAAAGUGGGCAUGAAGCGGAGCCAGUACCAAGGAGAGCUCUGGGUGAUUAUCAGAACUGGAAAUAGAACAGCCAUUUGGAGGAUCUGGGCAGGAAGCAGCAGAGCACAGCUUUGGAGCCUUCUUUAGGGAAAUCGAGUUAUGGAUUUAUGGUCCCGGUCAAGCUCAGCCCAGCCCCAGCCAGGGGCGGGUUCGGCAGCAAGAGUUCUUUCUGGUGGUGGUGGUGGCAGCGGCGGCAGCAGAGACAGCGGUAGCAGCGGCAGAGGCAGCGGCAGCUUAGCCCUCUGACUCUCUUCGGUGACGGGUAUUCUUGGGUGGAUAAUACGGAUUACGUUGUUAUUGCUUAAGAAUACGCGUAGUCGAGGAGAGUACCAGCGGCAGGCGGGCAGCGGCCGCCCCUCCCAGCCCACCAGCUGGCCACUAAAAGCUCCCCGGUUGCCAAGAAGUGUGAGAGAGUAGUUUUGUUGGAUGUCCACUUAUUUCAGUUCAGCCAUUUGAAGACAUGAGAAUUCUGGUGGGGUUCUUGGUCCGUCCUUUGUUCUGGGACAGUG